UUUCCUACGGGGGGCAGCAGUGAGGAAUAUUGGCCAAUGGGCGGGAGCCUGAACCAGCCAAGUCGCGUGAGGGAAGACGGUCCUAUGGAUUGUAAACCUCUUUAGGCGGGGAGCAAUGCCGGGCACGUGUGCCCGGAGGGAGAGUACCCGCAGAAUAAGCAUCGGCUAACUCCGUGCCAGCAGCCGCGGUAAUACGGAGGAUCCAAGCGUUAUCCGGAUUUAUUGGGUUUAAAGGGUGCGUAGGCGGUUUUAUAAGUUAGAGGUGAAAUCUCGGGGCUCAACUCCGAAAU
rnacentral:rRNA from 1 species